rnacentral:rRNA from 1 species
GCGGCAUGCCUUACACAUGCAAGUCGAACGGUAACAGGUCUUCGGAUGCUGACGAGUGGCGAACGGGUGAGUAAUACAUCGGAACGUGCCCGAGAGUGGGGGAUAACGAAGCGAAAGCUUUGCUAAUACCGCAUACGAUCUCAGGAUGAAAGCAGGGGACCGCAAGGCCUUGCGCUCACGGAGCGGCCGAUGGCAGAUUAGGUAGUUGGUGGGAUAAAAGCUUACCAAGCCGACGAUCUGUAGCUGGUCUGAGAGGACGACCAGCCACACUGGGACUGAGACACGGCCCAGACUCCUACGGGAGGCAGCAGUGGGGAAUUUUGGACAAUGGGCGCAAGCCUGAUCCAGCCAUGCCGCGUGCAGGAUGAAGGCCUUCGGGUUGUAAACUGCUUUUGCACGGAACGAAAAGACUCUGGUUAAUACCUGGGGUCCAUGACGGUACCGUAAGAAUAAGCACCGGCUAACUACGUGCCAGCAGCCGCGGUAAUACGUAGGGUGCAAGCGUUAAUCGGAAUUACUGGGCAUAAAGCGUGCGCAGGCGGUUAUAUAAGACAGAUGUGAAAUCCCCGGGCUCAACCUGGGAACUGCAUUUGUGACUGUAUAGCUAGAGUACGGCAGAGGGGGAUGGAAUUCCGCGUGUAGCAGUGAAAUGCGUAGAUAUGCGGAGGAACACCGAUGGCGAAG